rnacentral:lncRNA from 10 species
GCCCCUUCCCCUGCACGCGGCCCCGCGUCGGGGAGGUUUCCGGCCCGGGGCCCGACUGCGGGUGGCAUUUCUGGCUAAGCCGUUAGGCGCGAAUUAUAUGGAGAUAUAUACACACACGUAUCUGAAAACAUUCUGACGUUUUAAAAACGGAGCACCAGAGGAGGGGGACUUCAUCUGACUUGUUCAGCACUGUCUCCCAGGCCCUGGCACAGAGGGAGCACUCGAUACACACCGAUGGGCUGAAGGUGUGAAUGGAUCUGGGGACUAGAGUGAUGGUUAUUUGGCAGACAGCAUGCCCCGCCUGGGCAGUAGCCGUGAAGACUCUUCUUUUCCUCUCCUCGCCUGCACUCUUUAGGAUUGAACAGCAUUGGUUCAAUGCAUAUUCUGGGAGCACAGAGAAAAAAGGGAUCAAGUUCCACCAUUAUGCAAAAGGGACUCCUGUAAGCCAGACCCUGAGCCGUUGUCAAAACACAGCUUAAUCCCCAUUCCCUGGGCCCGAGACCCUGCAGCCCCCACGCUGCCCGGCUUCCGGUCUUACCUGGGGCAACCUGACCAACAAGAACGCGGAAGGCCAGGAGCCAAAAACAGAGACUCCUGAUGGGUAACAGAAGGAAAAGACUUGGAGGCUGCCAUUUCUCCAAGUAGUCCUGGAGAUUCUCAAAUGCUAAAGUUAACCAACACAGUGCCCUAAGACCAGAAAGGAGAAAAAAUGGAAGUUCUGGGUCCUGCCAAAGGACUAUUUCACUGAGCAGACUGCUGAGACCUCUGAAUUAUGUGGACACUUGAGAAUCAGUCAUGUGUUGGGGCCGGCGUCGUGGCUCAUGCCUGUAAUCCCAGCACUUUGGCAUUUUGGGAGGCCAAGGCGGGUGGAUCACCUGUGGUCAGGAGUUCGAGACCAGCCUGGUCAACAUGGUGAAACCCUGUCUUUACUAAAAACAAAAACAAACCCCAAAAAUUAGCCAGGUAUGGUGGCCGGCACCUGUAAUCCGAGCUAGUCGGGAGGCUGAGGCAGGAGAACUGCUUGGGCUUGGGAGGCAGAGGUUGCAGUGAGCCGAGAUUGUGCCACUGCACUUCAGCCUGGGCGACAAGAGUGAAACACCAGCUCAAAAAAAAAAAAAAAAAAAAAAAACCAAAAAAAAAAAAACCAAAAUCAGUCACCUGUUGGUUUGUGGAUCAAACAAAGUGGAGGUGACAUCACUGAAGCCUAGGACAUCACUCCCCUUUUCCAGGCAGGCUUUGUGGUUCGACCUGUCUCACGUUCCAACCCAUGCACCCUAACCCCCUACUUCUUUACCUCUUCCAAUUGAGACACAAGAUUCAUUUUGGCCCAAAGGAGGUAUACUUCAAAAG